rnacentral:rRNA from 1 species
GCGAAGCUCUUGAUCGAAGCCCCGGUAAACGGCGGCCGUAACUAUAACGGUCCUAAGGUAGCGAAAUUCCUUGUCGGGUAAGUUCCGACCUGCACGAAUGGCGUAACGAUGGCGGCGCUGUCUCCACCCGAGACUCAGUGAAAUUGAAAUCGCUGUGAAGAUGCAGUGUAUCCGCGGCUAGACGGAAAGACCCCGUGAACCUUUACUAUAGCUUUGCACUGGACUUUGAAUUUGCUUGUGUAGGAUAGGUGGGAGGCUUUGAAGCGUGGACGCCAGUUCGCGUGGAGCCAUCCUUGAAAUACCACCCUGGCAACUUUGAGGUUCUAACUCAGGUCCGUUAUCCGGAUCGAGGACAGUGUAUGGUGGGUAGUUUGACUGGGGCGGUCUCCUCCUAAAGAGUAACGGAGGAGUACGAAGGUGCGCUCAGACCGGUCGGAAAUCGGUCGUAGAGUAUAAAGGCAAAAGCGCGCUUGACUGCGAGACAGACACGUCGAGCAGGUACGAAAGUAGGUCUUAGUGAUCCGGUGGUUCUGUAUGGAAGGGCCAUCGCUCAACGGAUAAAAGGUACUCCGGGGAUAACAGGCUGAUACCGCCCAAGAGUUCAUAUCGACGGCGGUGUUUGGCACCUCGAUGUCGGCUCAUCACAUCCUGGGGCUGAAGCCGGUCCCAAGGGUAUGGCUGUUCGCCAUUUAAAGUGGUACGCGAGCUGGGUUUAGAACGUCGUGAGACAGUUCGGUCCCUAUCUGCCGUGGACGUUUGAGAUUUGAGAGGGGCUGCUCCUAGUACGAGAGGACCGGAGUGGACGAACCUCUGGUGUUCCGGUUGUCACGCCAGUGGCAUUGCCGGGUAGCUAUGUUCGGGAAAGAUAACCGCUGAAAGCAUCUAAGCGGGAAACUUGCCUCAAGAUGAGAUCUCACUGGAACCUUGAGUUCCCUAAAGGGCCGUCGAAGACUACGACGUUGAUAGGUUGGGUGUGUAAGCGCUGUGAGGCGUUGAGCUAACCAAUACUAAUUGCCCGUGAGGCUUGACCAU